ACUAGACUGCAUCCUAUGUGGGAAGAUUUCUGCGGUUAAUGUCAGUGUAGGAAAAGAAAAGAACUGACAAAAUCGAUCUGGUUAAACAUAGUCUGGGAUAUUUCUAGAGAGAAAGAGAAGGGGAGAGGAGAGGGAGGUAGAUUGUUUAAGUAAAACGCAGUUUAUAGCCCAACUUUGAGCUGCUGGCCUCACUCCAAGAUAUAGAUACUCUGCGUCGCCAAGCGCAAGGCUCUUUUAAAACCCCUUUAGGCAACUCUCAACCAAGGGAUUCUGGUUUCCGGUGAGAUUGCUUUAUUUUGUAUUUAUUAGCAGGCGAUUCUAAUAUUUGACUAUGUUUUCUUUCCACUUGACUUGUAAGCAUUAAAUCCACUGACUGACCGCUGCGGACAGAGUCAGGGAACACAGUGGUGAACGCCAUGUUGAGGAGAAUCCAGAGCCUUUUACAGUAACAUUAACUAAUGGAAACAAUGUCCUUAUCGGUGUUAACGCAUGGCUUUUUUAAGAUUAUCCUGUGUGAUGACACCCUACAUCUCAUUAGAAAAUGGCGGUUUGUGCCCUCUCAAAACACAUGCCAAGGAGGAUGUAUUUCUGUUUAGCAGCAAAUAACGAGUUAAAGCACACUGGUGAAAUGUUAAAAUGGUGCAUAUAUUCAAUAUAAUACAUUUGUUAUUUUUUUUAAAGAAUAAUAUAAGAAAGAAAGGGUUGUGUUUUCUCGUUUUCUCGCCACGCACACUUUUUUUGUCCUCAAACGAAAGCCCAAUUCUGGAAAUUAGUGGGGGAAAGUUGACUUAAUCUGGGUCAGGAGGUGCUGAAAAGAUUGUUUAAAUGUGUGGAUAUUUUAAUAGAAAUAAUUGAUGAUUUGUUUUGUUUAAAAAAAAACAAAAAAGCUAUAAAUAACACCAAAAACACAGCCACCGUCGUACUAUCGUUUCGCCUCACAAGUGGAAACAACUGUAUAUUUUUAAAUGAAAUAUCUGUUUAAUUGCAAGUAAUUUGAGCCACACACUGCAGUGUGUGAGAGAAAUAGCUUGAAAUUAUUUUGUGUUUUCAUUUCUCAUAAUUUCACCAGAAUUCUAGUUUAUUUUUUGUAAUAAACAUGUUGAUUUUUGUAUUUUUAUGUUGUGAUCUUGAGAUGAUUGCUUUUUUAAUGGUUGCUGAGGAUUUGUUCAGAUUAACACCACAUGUUCAGGCUGAACAAAAAGUCUGAUGAAAGUGGGUGUUUUCACGCACAGUCACAUGAAUAUUUGCAGACUUGGUCACACAUUGCAUCUGCACUGUGUGUGUGCAUGUUUCUUUGUCUCUCUCAUGUGAAUAUUUUCCCCUCUGGCUGCUGCUGUUUGCUGUUUUCAGCACCUUGAUUGAUUAGUUACACAAUGAUUUGGGUUGAGAAAAUUGCUCUUGAAACAACUCAAAAGCAGCCAAUUUCCUCAAUGUCCUGUUUUCUGAAAGAGGAGAGAAACAUGAUUUGCUGUGCUUCAAGUUUUCACACUUGUAAUUUUACAUUAGAUUAUGUUCACUGCAAAAUAAAGUGUGUGAUUUGUUGAA